AGACAUGACGGUACCUCACGAAUAAGCAUCGGCUAACUCCGUGCCAGCAGCCGCGGUAGUACGGAGGAUGCAAUCGUUAUCCGGAUUUAUCGGGUUCAAAGGGUGCGUACGCGGACCUGUAAGUCAGUGGUGAAAUCCUGCAGCUUAACUGUAGCAUUGCCAUUGAAACUGUAGGUCUUGAGUUAGGUAGAGGUAGGCGGAAUGUGUAAUGUAUCUGCGAAAUGCUUAGAUAUUACACAGAACACCGAUUGCGUAGGCAGCUUACUGGACCUUAACUGACGCUUAUGCACGAAAGCGUGGGGACCGAACAAGGAUUAGAUACCCUGGUAGUCCACGGCCGUUAACUAUCGAUUACUCAUCGUUGGCAAGACACAGUCAGCGACCAAGCGAAAGCGAUAAGAAAUCCACCUGGGGAGUACGCUCGCAAGAGUGAAACUCAAAGGAAUGACGGGGCGCCCGCACAAACGGUGGAACAUCUGACGUAAUUCGAUGAUACGCGAGGAACCUUACCUGGGCUUAAAUGUAGACUGCAUAGUGUGGAAACGCACUUUUCUAUCGAGACUGCCUACAAGGUCGCUGCAUGGUUGUCGUCAGCUCGUCCCGUGAGGUCUCGGCUUAAGUCCCAUUAACGAGCGCAACCCUUAUCGUUAGUAGCCAUCGGUUCAAGCCGGGGACUUUAGCGAAACUGCCUCCGUAAGGUGAGAGGAAGGUGGGGAUGACGUCAAAUCAGCACGGCCCUUAUGUCCAGGGCUACACAC
rnacentral:rRNA from 1 species